GCCAGCAGUUAUAGCACAUUGAACGCACCCGUUCACAACGGAUCACUGUAGUUAAGCAACGUUGUGGAUGGUUGGUAUCCGGACGGGUGACCGGCUGGGACGUCACGUCCUGUUGGCU
rfam:Asian citrus Psyllid, Diaphorina citri - Florida Strain, whole genome shotgun sequence.